GACGAACGCUGGCGGCGUGCUUAACACAUGCAAGUCGAACGGAAAGGCCCUGCUUUUGUGGGGUGCUCGAGUGGCGAACGGGUGAGUAACACGUGAGUAACCUGCCCUUGACUUUGGGAUAACUUCAGGAAACUGGGGCUAAUACCGGAUAGGAGGUCCUGCUGCAUGGUGGGGGUUGGAAAGUUUCGGCGGUUGGGGAUGGACUCGCGGCUUAUCAGCUUGUUGGUGGGGUAGUGGCUUACCAAGGCUUUGACGGGUAGCCGGCCUGAGAGGGUGACCGGCCACAUUAAGACUGAGAUACGGCCCAGACUCCUACGGGAGGCAGCAGUGGGGAAUAUUGCACAAUGGGCGGAAGCCUGAUGCAGCAACGCCGCGUGCGGGAUGACGGCCUUCGGGUUGUAAACCGCUUUCGCCUGUGACGAAGCGUGAGUGACGGUAAUGGGUAAAGAAGCACCGGCUAACUACGUG
rnacentral:rRNA from 1 species